GUGGAUUAGUGGCGAACGGGUGAGUAACACGUGAGUAACCUGCCCCCUACUCUGGGAUAAGCCUGGGAAACUGGGUCUAAUACUGGAUAUGACCAAUCACUGCAUGGUGUGUUGGUGGAAAGAUUUUUUGGUGGGGGAUGGACUCGCGGCCUAUCAGCUUGUUGGUGGGGUAAUGGCCUACCAAGGCGACGACGGGUAGCCGGCCUGAGAGGGCGACCGGCCACACUGGGACUGAGACACGGCCCAGACUCCUACGGGAGGCAGCAGUGGGGAAUAUUGCACAAUGGGCGAAAGCCUGAUGCAGCGACGCCGCGUGAGGGAUGACGGCCUUCGGGUUGUAAACCUCUUUCACCAGGGACGAAGCUAACGUGACGGUACCUGGAGAAGAAGCACCGGCUAACUACGUGCCAGCAGCCGCGGUAAUACGUAGGGUGCGAGCGUUGUCCGGAAUUAUUGGGCGUAAAGAGCUUGUAGGCGGUUUGUCGCGUCUGCUGUGAAAGACCGGGGCUUAACUCCGGUUCUGCAGUGGGUACGGGCAGACUAGAGUAUGGUAGGGGAGACUGGAAUUCCUGGUGUAGCGGUGAAAUGCGCAGAUAUCAGGAGGAACACCGAUGGCGAAGGCAGGUCUCUGGGCCAUUACUGACGCUGAGAAGCGAAAGCAUGGGGAGCGAACAGGAUUAGAUACCCUGGUAGUCCAUGCCGUAAACGUUGGGCGCUAGGUGUGGGGCUCAUUCCACGAGUUCCGUGCCGCAGCUAACGCAUUAAGCGCCCCGCCUGGG
rnacentral:rRNA from 1 species